CUCAAAUUUAAAAAGUAAUUGAAGAGGAGCUAGUAACUUGAUAAAGAGGAGAGAUAAGCUACUCACAGAAGAUGAAUCGAAGAAAAUGAGAGGCAAAGCUGAAAAGGAAGGUUACUAUGGCAACCAGAGAACUCACCUUUCCCCCACAGUGACAGUUAAGGUCAGAAGGAGCCCGGGGUCCCAGUUGGUGCCAUCGGAAUUGAAGAAAUCAGGACUCCAUCCAGGACACCAUGUUGCAUUCACUCAUCAUGUCUCCUCAAAUCUGUAACAGUUUUGCAGUCUUUCUUUAUUUUCCAUGACCUUGACAGUCUUGAGGAGUCCUAGCAUGAAAUAUAGAGUGAUGGAUCAAGCACCACUGCUCCAGAUCUGGGAAGCACGACCGUGACAGCAUCUGAGAGACAGCAGAGAUGUAUCUAUAAGAAAAUCAAGGAAUCUGCUCUUCCCAGCCUCGCGUUCUCUUGAAUUCAUUUUUGUUCACAAACCUUGAAUAUAAACUUAUGUUUGAUUAUCGUUCACAUGUUUUGUGUGUGACAAUUUUUCUGAACUUGAGCAAAAAGUAAAAACCAACCACAACGGUUCACAUUCCCUAUUAUUAUUUUUUUGUUUUUCCAGCUGAUCAAGAGGCAGAAGAAAAGUGAGAAAGACAUUGAGGACAAACAUUUAGUUAACACACCCACACAAACCCAGCAUUGGAGGGAACAUCCUUCACUUGGGGUGACAAGUGGUGAUGACUUGUCACAGUUGUCUCAGUCUGAAGGAGACCAGGCAGGUGUAUCAUCACACAGCUUCUGCGGUGGAUGCACAGAGCCUCUAGAAGUGCUCCCAGUUCAGAGAGAGGAGCAGGGUGUGGAGAGAGCCCUCAGGCCCCCAGCCCCAGCACCGGCCUCAAGGAGAGGCGAUAAGAGGCCAGGAUGCGGUCAGGUGGGACUGCAGAAACAAAAAGUGGAACUUCUACCAGAAGCAGACUACAAUCAAGUGCUGAUCAUGAAGUUUAGAUCGACGAUGGACCCCAUAGACGACGGUGGUCCCAAAAGAAUGAAAAAUCCUUCCUCAUUGGAGGAACGUUUGAAAAUAGCGCUGACAACUCUCUGGAGAACUGGAAUCCCAUCCCCGUGGAAGGAGAAGAAGGUUUGCUCUGACAAUCCCACUCAAACGACGCAGCUCGAGUUUCUCCUCUCUCCUCAAGCUGCUGUUCCGGGGUGAGGUGGUGCCUGCAUCCAGGGUCAAGAAUGUAGCGCUCUGCUGUGAUUUACUGCUGAAUGUCACCCAGUCACAGAAUCCUACUCCAGAGUAGGAAGAGCCCAGCGUGCAGCACAGAGUGGUCCUCUCAGUCUGGACUUUGUGGUGUGGAAGAGCGGAGCUUGGUUCCUCUCAGUACGUUAGAUUGAUACUUCAUACAGCAUAAUCACUUGAAUAUGGAUUAUAAACUCAAAAGGCCUCAGCAGCCAGGCAGGUAAAGUGAAUAGCUGAAGGAGGUGAUGCAUGAGACAGUAUGAUGGUGGGACCUGAGGUCAACUUGGAGAGAGGUGGCCCAUUUAAAGGCACUCUAAUCCAGUUAAAACAUUUACUUUCUAUUCCACAAAUACAACUCAAUUGCUGGCUGAAUAUGGUCCAUAGGCACUGGGUUGAUGUUCAUGAUAACUUCUGC
rnacentral:lncRNA from 1 species